rnacentral:lncRNA from 1 species
AUAUGCAUGCUCUGGAAAUCUUCCCCAAUCAUGUUACCUACAGCAUCCUGAUAGACAGCCACUGUGAGAAGGGACAAGUUGAAGAUGCAUUCCGUUUUUUGGAUGAAAUGGUUGAUAAAGGUAUUGUACCAAACAUCAUGACCUACAAUUCCAUUAUCAAGGGUUAUUGCCGGUCAGGUAAUGUAAGAAAGGGGCAGCAGUUUUUGCAAAAGAUGAGGCAAGACAACAUAUUACCAGAUUUAAUUACUUUCAACACCCUGAUCUAUGGUUAUGUUAAAGAAGAAAAAAUGGACGAAGCUUUCAAUGUGUUUAACAUAAUGGAGAAGGAAAUGGUACAGCCAGACGUUGUCACAUAUAAUAUGCUCAUAAAUGGGUUUUCUGAACAUGGCAAUGUGCAAGAAGCUGGUUGGAUUUUCAAGAAAAUGGGUGAGAGAGGAAUUGAACCGGAUAGAUAUACAUACAUGUCUAUGAUUAAUGGUCAUGUUGCAGCUGGCAACUCGAAGGAGGCAUUUCAGCUUCAUGAUGAAAUGAUUCAUAGAGGAUUUGCUCCUGAUGACAAAUUCUGAGAAAUGCUGGUAAUGGCAUUGUACCUUGCAAAUUGCCAGUGUCUUUUGAAUUCUUGCCUCCACAGAUAUUGUGAAUUCAAGGGGUUGAAGGUGAGUAUGAGAAAUUUUAGCAUUGAACGUUGAAACAACAUAUAGUUUUGCAUUUAACCCUCUGCUUAUCGCCAUAGUGGAAUCAACUCUGAAAAAUGAUGUCUGAUAUACUUAUUUGUGUACGAAUUGACAAAUCAUGUCCUUUACCGGCCCAAGCAAAGAAACUUGUUAUCUGUACACAUGACAUUAGCGGUGCAAAUUUAUUUCCUUUUUCUUUUUGUCCCUUUUUAGUGUUUCACCCUUCUACAGUUCUACCUUUUACAAACAUGGUUUGUGACUUGGUACCAUCAUACUGACCCUGAUAAUUAUCUUAGGAAGUUAUUGAUGUGAAAGUGUUCUCCCACGGGAACUUAUAUUGUGGGCGUGUUUUCUUCACCAAGGUCAAGGAAUGUUGCACAGAAGAAGCAUAGAAAAUCUUCUUAACCUCUCAGGUACUCUUCUCACCCAGCACACAUGUUGCCUCUGUAUAUUCUACCUUUUACAAACUUAGCUAGUUCCAUGUGCUUCAAUUUGUUUAUUAGGAAUACUUUCAAAAUCAUCUUACCAGAAGUCUAUUUGGCAAAGCCUUUGCAUAUCUGUUGAACAGUAUUUUAUCAUUUAAUUACAUUUUUUACGCCAUCUGCUAUUAUAGUUGUUGAACUCAUAUAUAUGCUUUGAUUAGUUCCGUACUUGGUGAGAGAGACUACACAAAGUAUGGUAAUGCCUGAGCUGCAACUAUGGCCUCCAGAUUUCACAACGGUAAGAUUUUAAGAAAUAAGAAACAUGUUACUUGUUUAUGAAUCUACUGUUUGCACCAAAUCAUAUCUUCUCAACCCUUUGUUAGGAAUAUAAAGGAUCGAUGGGUCAGAGAAACAAAAAGUUCAGGAUUAAAAAGAAAUUAGUUUUCCCGUUUACCAAUAUCUGUUGCUACUGACCAUACACCUUGAAACGUUGUUUCUUUUAGUGAGAACUGCAACAUUCUCUUUCUCAUGAAAUUGUGACCAGCAGAACAGUGUCAAUGAAUUUAUUUUGUAAUUAUUUCCACUGCUAGGAUGAUUAUAAAAAUCACCCCUCUUUGAUUGGGUAUGCUACAUUUGACUAAGAAAAAGUUAACCCUUUUAAAAUUUAGAAUCUGGAGGUCCGAAACUAGGGAUAGUAAGAAGAGCGAACCAUGCAAAAAGUCAGCAUAUUCAUCUGUCAUAGUAGCAGCAACAAUGAACAGGGUAUGUACAAGAUGUUAUAUGUACAAACUUACACCAUCGUUUACAUGCAGACUAAGCAAAAACCACUGCACAAAAAAAAGAUAGAAAAUUGACGAGGGUACUCAAUAUGUCCGUCCCCUUCAGUCAAAGCUCCAGAAGAGCAGCCAAAAGAACAUUGAAUGGGAAAAAUGAAUAAACGAACAUUGUAUAAAACUGCACAUGCCUUCAAGAAAUCUUCAUGGGUUUGGGCAUCUUCCUCCAGGAUUAUUCGGAUCAAAUGUGCAGCCGGAUGCCCCAGGCAUGGAUGUCAAGGACGCCGAGUUUCUUCCCUGGGGCUGUGGUU